AUGAACAGCUAGGAUAUUAAGCAAAAUGAAUAUUCAUGUCCUACAAUUCCUCUCUUUAGAUCAUAUCGUGAUCUACCUUACGGAAUAUCCAUGGGAGGCCUGCGGCAGAGAAACGAAAGGAGGUAUAUUCAGACGUGCUAAUCACGUCUGCAGGACUUUCAUUAUUUCUUCACCUCGAUUUCCCCCAUUUGCUCUAUGCCGUAGGUUUUCCCUUUAAGAGGAGAUUGAGC
rnacentral:lncRNA from 1 species